GAUGAACGCUGGUGGCGUGCCUAAUACAUGCAAGUCGAGCGAAUGGAUUAAGAGCUUGCUCUUAUGAAGUUAGCGGCGGACGGGUGAGUAGCACGUGGGUAACCUGCCCAUAAGACUGGGAUAACUCCGGGAAACCGGGGCUAAUACCGGAUAACAUUUUGAACCGCAUGGUUCGAAAUUGAAAGGCGGCUUCGGCUGUCACUUAUGGAUGGACCCGCGUCGCAUUAGCUAGUUGGUGAGGUAACGGCUCACCAAGGCAACGAUGCGUAGCCGGCCUGGGAGGGUGAUCGGCCACACUGGGACUGAGACACGGCCCAGACUCCUACGGGAGGCAGCAGUAGGGAAUCUUCCGGAAUGGACGAAAGUCUGACGGAGCAACGCCGCGUGAGUGAUGAAGGCUUUCGGGUCGUAAAACUCUGUUGUUAGGGAAGAACAAGUGCUAGUUGAAUAAGCUGGCACCUUGACGGUACCUAACCAGAAAGCCACGGCUAACUACGUGCCAGCCGCCGCAGUAA
rnacentral:rRNA from 1 species